rnacentral:rRNA from 1 species
CCUACGGGAGGCAGCAGUGGGGAAUUUUGGACAAUGGGCGAAAGCCUGAUCCAGCAAUGCCGCGUGCAGGAUGAAGGCCUUCGGGUUGUAAACUGCUUUUGUACGGAACGAAACGGUCUUUUCUAAUACAGAAGGCUAAUGACGGUACCGUAAGAAUAAGCACCGGCUAACUACGUGCCAGCAGCCGCGGUAAUACGUAGGGUGCAAGCGUUAAUCGGAAUUACUGGGCGUAAAGCGUGCGCAGGCGGUUAUGUAAGACAGUUGUGAAAUCCCCGGGCUCAACCUGGGAAUUGCAUCUGUGACUGCAUAGCUAGAGUACGGUAGAGGGGGAUGGAAUUCCGCGUGUAGCAGUGAAAUGCGUAGAUAUGCGGAGGAACACCGAUGGCGAAGGCAAUCCCCUGGACCUGUACUGACGCUCAUGCACGAAAGCGUGGGGAGCAAACAGGAUUAGAUACCCUGGUAGUCCACGCCCUAAACGAUGUCAACUGGUUGUUGGGUCUUCACUGACUCAGUAACGAAGCUAACGCGUGAAGUUGACCGCCUGGGGAUACGGCCGCAAGGUUGAAACGUCAAAGAGUAGUACGCGNGNGAGAGACGACGACGACGACGAGGAGGGAGGAGG